rnacentral:rRNA from 1 species
UCCUACGGGGCGCAGCAGUGAGGAAUAUUGGUCAAUGGGCGCAAGCCUGAACCAGCCAAGUCGCGUGAGGGAAGACGGCCCUACGGGUUGUAAACCUCUUUUGCCGGGGAGCAAGCCUGAGCACGUGUGCCCAGGCGGAGAGUACCCGGAGAAAAAGCAUCGGCUAACUCCGUGCCAGCAGCCGCAGUAAUACGGAGGAUGCGAGCGUUAUCCGGAUUUAUUGGGUUUAAAGGGUGCGCAGGCGGAAUGUCAAGUCAGCGGUAAAAUUUAGGGGCUCAACCACGUCGUGCCGUUGAAACUGACGU